rnacentral:misc_RNA from 1 species
UCAGGUAUGAAGGUGAAUGGCUUCAAAACAACAUGGAAGGUCAUGGAGUUGUUGAGGUUGAGAUACCCCACAUAGAACCCAUCCCAGGAUCCAAACUUGAAGCCAAGAUGAGAGCUGAAGGCAAGAUUAUAAAGAGAGACUUUAUGUCCCCAGAAGACAGAGAAUGGCUGGAGAAGGAUAUUGAAGAUACUCUAGAGCUAACAAACGGAAGUUAUGAAAUUCCUUUCUAUGAGAAUGAUGAAUGGAUCAGGCAAUUCGGCAAGAAACCGGAGAAGGGGCGAUAUCGCUAUGCUGGCCAAUGGAAGCAUGGAAGAAUGCAUGGUUGCGGUUUAUAUGAAGUUAAUGAACGCACAAUAUAUGGUCGUUUUUAUUUUGGAGAACAUGUAGCAGAGGAUACUUAUGGAUGUGAUGCAGAAAUUUCAGCGAUGCAUGCAGGUAUAGCAGAAGUUGCAGCUGCUAAGGCCCGGAUGUUUAUUAACAAGCCUGAUGGAAUGGUGAGAGAAGAGAGAGGCCCCUAUAGUGAUCCUCAACAUCCAUAUUUAUAUGAAGAAGAUGAUGUGUGGAUGGCACCAGGUUUCAUCAACCAGUUUUAUGAAGUUCCGGAUUAUUGGAAAGCAUAUACACAUGACGUGGAUGAAGAGAGAGAAAUGUGGUUGAACUCAUUUUACAAAGCUCCUUUACGAUUGCCUAUGCCUGCAGAGCUUGAACAUUGGUGGUCCAAAGAUGAAAAGCCGGAGUUUAUUUUACUUAACAAGGAACCUGAGCCUGAUCCUGAAGAUCCUUCUAAACUCGUCUAUACUGAAGAUCCUGUCAUCCUGCACACUCCGACUGGAAGGAUUAUCAACUAUGUGGAAGAUGAGGAACAUGGGUUACGAUUGUUUUGGCAACCUCCUGUAAAAGAGGGUGAAGAUGUCGAUCCUGAUAAAGUUGAAUUCCUCCCCCUAGGAUUUGACGAGUUUUAUGGACGAGGUGGGACUGUCAAAUCAGAUAGUGUGUGGAAACGGUUUGUUACCUCAGUGGAAAAUGCAUGCAAACCGAUGUUUGACAAACUUGAG